rnacentral:rRNA from 1 species
AUUGAACGCUGGCGGCAGGCUUAACACAUGCAGGUCGAGCGGAGAUGAGGUGCUUGCACCUUAUCUUAGCGGCGGACGGGUGAGUAAUGCUUAGGAAUCUGCCUAUUAGUGGGGGACAACAUUCCGAAAGGAAUGCUAAUACCGCAUACGCCCUACGGGGGAAAGCAGGGGAUCCUCGGACCUUGCGCUAAUAGAUGAGCCUAAGUCGGAUUAGCUAGUUGGUGGGGUAAAGGCCUACCAAGGCGACGAUCUGUAGCGGGUCUGAGAGGAUGAUCCGCCACACUGGGACUGAGACACGGCCCAGACUCUUACGGGAGGCAGCAGUGGGGAAUAUUGGACAAUGGGCGGAAGCCUGAUCCAGCCAUGCCGCGUGUGUGAAGAAGGCCUUUUGGUUGUAAAGCACUUUAAGCGAGGAGGAGGCUACCUGGAUUAAUACUCUAGGAUAGUGGACGUUACUCGCAGAAUAAGCACCGGCUAACUCUGUGCCAGCAGCCGCCGUAACAC